rnacentral:rRNA from 1 species
AACGAACGCUGGCGGCAGGCUUAACACAUGCAAGCCGAGCGCCCCGCAAGGGGAGCGGCAGACGGGUGAGUAACGCGUGGGAACGUACCCUUUGCUACGGAAUAGCUCCGGGAAACUGGAAUUAAUACCGUAUGUGCCCUACGGGGGAAAGAUUUAUCGGCAAAGGAUCGGCCCGCGUUGGAUUAGCUAGUUGGUGGGGUAAUGGCCUACCAAGGCGACGAUCCAUAGCUGGUCUGAGAGGAUGAUCAGCCACAUUGGGACUGAGACACGGCCCAAACUCCUACGGGAGGCAGCAGUGGGGAAUAUUGGACAAUGGGCGCAAGCCUGAUCUAGCCAUGCCGCGUGAGUGAUGAAGGCCUUAGGGUUGUAAAGCUCUUUCACCGGAGAAGAUAAUGACGGUAUCCGGAGAAGAAGCCCCGACUAACUUCGUGCCAGCAGCCGCCGUAAUAC